rnacentral:rRNA from 1 species
ACCGGAUAGGGGAGCCGCAGGGAAACCGAGUCUUAACUGGGCGAAUUAGUUGCAGGGUAUAGACCCGAAACCCGGUGAUCUAGCCAUGGGCAGGUUGAAGGUUGGGUAACACUAACUGGAGGACCGAACCGACUAAUGUUGAAAAAUUAGCGGAUGACUUGUGGCUGGGGGUGAAAGGCCAAUCAAACCGGGAGAUAGCUGGUUCUCCCCGAAAGCUAUUUAGGUAGCGCCUCGUGAAUUCAUCUCCGGGGGUAGAGCACUGUUUCGGCUAGGGGGUCAUCCCGACUUACCAACCCGAUGCAAACUGCGAAUACCGGAGAAUGUUAUCACGGGAGACACACGGCGGGUGCUAACGUUCGUCGUGAAGAGGGAAACAACCCAGACCGCCGGCUAAGGUCCCAAAGUCAUAAUUAAGUGGGAAACGAAGUGGGAAGGCUCAGACAGCCAGGAUGUUGGCUUAGAAGCAGCCAUCAUUUAAAGAAAGCGUAAUAGCUCACUGGUCGAGUCGGCCUGCGCGGAAGAUGUAACGGGGCUAAAUUAUGCACCGAAGCCGCGGCAGCGAUAUGUAAAUAUUGUUGGGUAGGGGAGCGUUCUGUAAGCCUGUGAAGGUGUGCUGUGAGGCAUGCUGGAGGUAUCAGAAGUGCGAAUGCUGACAUAAGUAACGAUA